rnacentral:rRNA from 1 species
GGCGAACGGGUGAGUAACACGUGGGUGAUCUGCCCUUCACUUCGGGAUAAGCCUGGGAAACUGGGUCUAAUACUGGAUAGGACCAUCGUUUAGUGUCGGUGGUGGAAAGUUUUUCGGUGGAGGAUGAGCUCGCGGCCUAUCAGCUUGUUGGUGGGGUAGUGGCCUGCCAAGGCGACGACGGGUAGCCGGCCUGAGAGGGUGGACGGCCACAUUGGGACUGAGACACGGCCCAG